UAGGGAAUAUUGCGCAAUGGGCGAAAGCCUGACGCAGCAACGCCGCGUGAGGGACGAAGGCCUUCGGGUUGUAAACCUCUUUCAGCAGGGAAGAAGCGAGAGUGACGGUACCUGCAGAAGAAGCACCGGCUAACUACGUGCCAGCAGCCGCGGUAAUACGUAGGGUGCAAGCGUUGUCCGGAAUUAUUGGGCGUAAAGAGCUCGUAGGCGGUCUGUCGCGUCUGCCGUGAAAGUUCGGGGCUCAACCCCGGAACUGCAGUGGGUACGGGCAGACUGGAGUGCGGUAGAGGAGACUGGAAUUCCUGGUGUAGCGGUGGAAUGCGCAGAUAUCAGGAGGAACACCAGUGGCGAAGGCGGGUCUCUGGGCCGCAACUGACGCUGAGGAGCGAAAGCAUGGGGAGCGAGCAGGAUUAGAUACCCCGGUAGUCC
rnacentral:rRNA from 1 species